rnacentral:misc_RNA from 1 species
ACAGAGAUGUUUCCAAUGUGGUUGCGUCUCGUUUCGGCGGGGUCGGGUGUAGUCGUGGGCGCGGGGGAGGGGCGGGUGUGCGGGCGCGCGGGCGCAGCGAAUGGCGUCGUGCGCAGCGCUCGCUCAGUAGCCCGCGCGAUGUGCCACGCAGUAGUGCUCGGAGUGCUGUUCUCGCUGCCCUCCUACCUGUACUCGGCAGUGCCGUUCAGGAAGGCGCGGCGCAAGGAGCGCGAGGGCGAGCCGGCGGGCGACCCCAAGCUGUACCUGCAGGAGGCGCUGCUGGAGCGCAAGCUGCCCGAGCUCGACAUGCGCCAGCUCGUGGACCUGCCGCGCGGCCUCGACUACAACGAGUGGCUCGCCUCGCACAGUCAGUUCCACCACACCACCCCCACUAGCGUAGUCAAUCUGCUGCCCCCUGUCCGCCUCAUCAACUUUAAUAAUGCUAUAUCAUCACUACAUGCGCUGGCGCUGUUCGACCACGUGAACCUGCUGUACGGAACCGUGUCGGAGUUCUGCACGGCCGCGUCGUGCCCCGACAUGACGGGCCCGGGCGGCCGCACCUACGCCUGGUACGACGACCGGGGCAAGAAGUCCCGCGUCGCCGCGCCUCAGUACGUCGACUACGUCAUGACAUUCACGCAGAAGACCGUCAACGACGAGACUGUUUUCCCUACUAAAUAUGCGAACGAGUUCCCGGCGCAGUUCGAGGGCGUGGUGCGGCGGGUGCUGCGGCUGCUGUUCCACGUGGUGGCGCACAUGUACGCGGCGCACUUCCGCCAGCUGGCGCUGCUGCGCCUGCACGCGCACCUGCACCUCACCUUCGCGCACCUCACCGCGCUCGACGCGCGCUUCGCGCUGCUCGACCACAAGGAGACCGAGGUCGCACAUCAUAUACUAAUUUUUAGGCAGUCUUAAGUGUCUUUAGAAACCUAAGUAACUGGGUCGUCGCUAGCUCCAUUCGCAUCCAACUAGACAGUAGACGGUCAGUAGUCAGUGCAUUCGUCAAAGCCUGUUUUUUUUUCUGAGUCAUCAUUUGGGCCUAACAGAACUGUUUAUUACGCACUGUACUAUACGCACAAUCUACAGUAACUGACUACUGAAAGCCAGAAAACACUGACAAUCUAGAAUCGAGACAAAGGGGAAUGCCGAUUUUAGGCCCAGCGAAUCUCACAAAAUUGAAUUUAGUAAAAAAUAUCUGUAAAUUUUACACAAAUAACUCACUAUUCACGUUGCGAACAAGUUGGUAACAUUUUUUAAUAAAAAAUAAUAUUGAAACGAUACAAGGAAAUAAAGAGACAUUUGCAGGGUUGCCAUUUUAUAAUAUUCGGGAAAAAUAAAGAUUUGUUGCAAAACUUU